rnacentral:lncRNA from 1 species
AUGAGCAGGACCUCUUUCACAGGAAAGCCUCCCGUGGCGGGGCCGUGCUGCCUGUGCUCGGUGUCGUCACCGCGCUCACCGCCCAGGCCGUUGUUAGCAUUAUUCAUAUUGUCUGCAAUGAGUAUCGGUGCUGCUGGCAAUGAGGAGAGCAGCCUGGGCAGGCUGUGUGCUGUGUGCUGUGUGCUGGGAGGGCACAGGGCCUGGCAGUGCCGGGCCUGGCUGUGGCAGCUCUGGGGCCGUGCCUGGGCCUGCUCGGGGCCCAGGACCUGCCCCAGCGUGGCCCUGAUUCUUUACCAAUUAUUUCUUCUGCUGCCCAGAACAAGUUCACUGCUCUGUGCUGAAAGCCAAACUCGUGCUGAAGGAGCUCCCCAGCGUCCAGGGCAGAAGUUGUCACUGCUGCUUGCCCAUCCCUGGUGGCCCUGGGCUCCCCCCGCUGGCCCUGGCCCUGGCCCUGGCUGGCUUUGGGGAGCAGAGGAUUCAGGAAGCAGCAGCAGGAAUUGUGCUCAUCCCUUUGGGAACUCAGUGGGGUUGGAGUCCCCUUGACUUCUUGCAUCUAUUUUUGACGUGGAACCACUCAGAUGGUGAAAACAUCAGCUCGUGCUGUGUUGUGGAAAACAAGGAAAUGACUCUUCCAUGUGGGAAGGGAAGGAAGAAAGGCCCUACAAGUGACUGCAGGGGUACAACAAUUGUUCAGCACGUGAAACAAAUUGAAUUUCAUUUCAGGAUUGAGGAGGAAAAUCUGGGCAGGCUCUGAGACAAAUCGGCCAUGGACAAAUCCACGUGAGAGCUGCAGUUGGUUGGAGUGUCUCAGAUGUGUUUUCCCUCAUCCCUUUGGGUCUGGUUUUGUUUUUGGGGUCCCUUUUGGGGCGCUGUGCUGGGGCUCCCACACAUCCCCAGGCUGCUGGGUGCCACUGAGCAGUGCCAGGCCUGAGGCUGCUGCCCACCUUCCAGCCCUUUCUCUGCCCGGGGUUUGCUCCCUGCCCGCCCUGCGAGGCUCAGAAUGCCCCUGGCAGCAGUGCAGCGCCUGCAGCUGUGCCAGAUGUUUCCUCUGCACACCCAGAACAGGCCCAGCCCGGCCAAGAAAGGGCUCUUUUGUAAAAGAAAGCCACUAAUGCUCUGCCAGGACCUUCCCUGGAGGCGGCCCACCGAAUUCCCUGGAUCGACAGAGCAGCCCUGGGAGGGAGGGGCUGGGCUGCACUCUGCCCUGCACCCACUCGGGCAGAAAGGGCAUUUUUCAACCCUAGGAAAACUUGUGCAGCAAUUUUUCUUUUCUGGUAACUUUACAGGGACUGAACUUAUUCUGGAAAUCUCUAAAUUAAUGACAAGUGGCCUUUAAUUAAUGAAUCUUGAUGAACUGACUGUGCCUAAUGUUGGGGAUUUUCACAAAGUUCCAGCUUCCUGCAGCCCCUGCACACAAGCUUCUGCCACAAAGAGAAAUUCAAUGUUUUGUUCUUCUACCUGUAAUUCCCCAGCACCUCCUGCAGCUGCAGGGGCUGCAGAGCCACAGCUGUAGGGGCUGUGUGUGGGAUCCAGACCUUGUGGGCAGGACCCAAACUGGGGACAGGACCCAAAUGUGGGAACAGAACCCAAAGUGGGGGGACAGAAUCCAAACUGGGGGCACAGAAUCCAAACUGGGGACAGGACUCAAACUGGGGGCAGGACUUAAACUGAGGGGACAGGACCCAAAUGUGGGGACAGAGCCCAAACUGGGGACAGGACCCAAACUGGGGAUAGGACUCAAAAUGGGGGGACAGAACCCAGCUGGGGACAGAACCCAACCUGAGGGGACAGGACCCAAACUGGGGACAGGACCCAGAGUGGGGACAGGUCCCACCUGAGUACCAGCAGAGCCCCAUGAAUAUUCAGAGCUCAGCUCCCAACUUCAGGCUCUUUCUCUAUUUUUGGGAGAGAAAACCCCCAGUGUUUGCAGAGCCACUCUCAGCAUUUUGCCUGAGCAGGUGAAUUGUUUUCUGCCAGCCUUGCUGGUGGCUGUGCUGCUCAGGCAGUCCUGAGCAGGUGAAUUGUGCUUGGUUUCCAUCCCAGCCCCGUGCAGGGAGGGCAGCCAGGCAGGCUGGGGAGGGCUGGGGCCCAGCCAGGCUGGUUGGAUUUUAGCACUGCCCAAAUAUUAACUCUGCCCAGAGGAUGUGGAGGUGUUUCCUUGGCACGUCAGCAUCCAGCAGCAGGGGCUGUACAGCCAGCCCUGGCCAGCACACGUGUCACUGCCGGUGACACGCCAGGGGACAGGCUCUGACACUGCUCAGGCUGCCCUCCAUCAACCCUCUGCAGCCACCAUGAGCACAGCCCCUGCUGCUCCUGCCGUGCUCCAGGUGAUGUUAACCUCUUCUGCAACCGUGUUUGAGAUCACACAACAACCUACAAAACCCUCACUGUGGAGAGGGUGGUUUUUUGGUGAUUUGGCUGAAGAAAGGGAGUUGAAAAGUAAAUAAGAGCUCAAAUUAGAUUUAUAUAAACAUAAGCUCACUUUUUGCAGAAGAACACACAGCCCUGUGGGCUUUCUUUAGCUCUGCCCUAAAGCAGCAGCUGCUGCAGGUCUCAGGAAGUUUCCAUGAAACCCACCCACACUCCAUGAAUACCUUGCUUUUUCACCUCUAAAUUUUUCUCUCUGGGGCUUUUAAGCAAGUUUUAUUGUAGUGUUUACACAGCCAACUCACUCUGCCUUUGGUUUAUGUUUUUCUCGCCUGCAGCCACUGAAUUGUGAGCUUUAUUAGUUACAGGUAUCUGAAAUCACUUUUUUUUUUUUUCUUUUUUUAAGAACUGACUGCCUAAUAAAGCCUUCUAAAAGUUUCUGUUUAAGGCAAUUGUCCUCCACCCCAGGAUCAGGUUCUUACUGGGUUAUACCCAGGAUCAACAACCUCUCUAGGGCUGUUUGUUACCAAGAACAGAACAGGAAUCCCAAGCACUGCAGUCAGUCAGGUCUGCAGCCAUUCAUUGCAGAACUUCAGUGAAAUGUGGCUUCUGCCCUGCCAGUGGCUCUUUCUCUGCCCUCCCUCUCUCCCACCCUGCUCCUGCCUGGGGCAGCAGGUGAAGGACUUUUGUAUCCAAAAAUGCUUUAUUUAAAGCUUUAGAACAUUGAAAUGUGUUGUCAGUCGUAUUUAGAACAACUUCACAGAACGGUUGAGCUGAAAUUGGAGCUGGAUGCAAAAAUCCCCUGCCCUGGCCGUGGGCAGGACAUGAAGGGCUUUGUCCUCUGCAGCCCCCCAGGUUCAAAUCCUGUCCUUGCUGGGGGAUCAUCUCAUGCCCACCCUGAAUUUCAGCUCUAACACCAACACCAAAGGCUCCCACACGUUUUGAGCUGUUGGAUGCAUUAAUUUCACGCUUUUGCUCCCGACACUGGAGAGGCACAGGGUUUUGUGAAGCUGUUUAAGUGCAGUAAAUUUCUCUAGCAGACAGUAUUUUACGAGCUGCAGAAAUACCUGCAAGGCUUGAGCAGGUGCCAGCAGUCCCAAAGGCCUGAGGUGGGUGAGUGUGUGCUGGAACAGGGACUUCUGUGAAUUACCCUUUACAGAUCACAAAACCAAACCAGAACAUGUGAGCUGCCUCCAGGCCCUGUCCACAGCCCCCUGCAGCUCUCCUGGAGCCCCUUUGGGUUCUGGAAGGUGUCUGUGAGUGUCCCUGGAGUCCUUCAGUGUGCAUGAAGUGAAUUAUCCCCAAGAGAGCACCCCAGGGCAGGGAGGGUGGUGGGGAUGCCUGGAGUCCUUCAGUGUGCAUGAAGUGAAUUAUCCCCAAGAGAGCACCCCAGGGCAGGGGCUGGGGCAGAGCAGAGCCCAGUGCUCCCCCCAAAAUCCUCCUGUCCCCGUGCCUCUGCUCUGACAUUUGCCCAAGCUCCCACCCUCAUUCCCCUGCAGCCAAGAACCCCCUCUGCCACUGCCACGGGGCUGGAUUUUAACCCUGUCCAGGCUGCAGCCCCAUUUGGGGAUCCCCUCCAUCCCCAGAGCUCCCAGGCAGGCCAGAGGGGAGGGUUACCCACAAAAACAGGGCUCUACUGAAAACUCCCCCCAGAGUGCUCAUGUGUAAAUGUGGGUCCCCAAAUGCAGCAGGAGUGGCACCUGUGGGGGCUGGCACCAGAAGUGACACUGAUCACCUCAGGGACACACACACUCACACUCACACUCACACACACACACACACACACACACACACACACUCUGCCCCCCGCACACACACACACAUGCACACACACACGCACACACACACUCUGCCCCCCAAGACACAUGAGGCUGUAAAGUUGUUUUUCACAAAAUUCCUUCUGCUCCAGCUGCAGGGUGGCAGCUCCACGGGCUGUCAGUCACCCAGCAGAGCUGUGCCUGCCCCUCAGCAGGGACACCCCCUCCUGGGGUGAGCACCCUGCACAGGACACAGCCUGUUUUAUAUCGAUUUUAUAUCACUGCUUUCAGCAAGCUGAUGGAAUCCCUCAAACCCACUGCCUUGGCACAGGGGCAGCAGCCUGCAAACCUGAUUCCAGUAAGGGUUUAAAAACCACAAACAGCCCUUGUUUUUGACCACAACUGCAGGUUUAGUACGCCAGAAGUCACUGUUGAGAUGUGUCAUUUCCAAAAGACUAUUGCAAGACCUUAGUCAUAAGAAGGUUGGACAGAGUUGAUAAGCCCAGCCCAGCCCAGCCCAGCCCAGCCCCGCCCCUCCUGCCAGGUGCCCCUGCAGCCCCCGAGGGCUCUGUCACACCCCAGGACCCCAAGGACACGCUUCCCUCGGCUGUGCUGGAUGCAGGGGACACUGAGCUGCUUGCGAGUGAACAGCCAGACUCUGGAAUGGUUUAACCCCCCCUUGUGCUGCUUCCCAGUGCCCCAGUCCUGUGGGACCCUGCUCAGGCCCGGCUCUGGCUGCAGGUGGUGCACAGCAGGCUGGCAUUGGCCAGGGUGAAGGGUUUGCCCGUCAGCAGCGUCUCACACUCCAGGCAGGCAAAGUGCUUGUUGUGCCAGGCCAGCCCCUCCACCUGCUGGUAGUCCUCUGAGAAGAUGAUCUGUGGGACAGACAGACAGACAGACAGACAGACAGACAGACAGACACACAGCUGCUUAUUCCCAGCACCUCACCGAGCUGGAGCAGGGAGAACCAGCCCCCAUCUCCCAGCAAGCCCAUCGCCUUGGAGGUCAGCAAUGGGCACAGGAAACAAUCCCAGCGUGGCUGGGGAUGGAAGGGACCUGUCAAGGUCACCUUGUCCCAGGACACCUCCCCUGGCCAGGGGGCUCAGAGCCCUGACUGAGCCUGGCACUGGCAGGGGCACAGGGGCUCUGGGAGGUUCCCACCCAGAACUACUGGGAUCAGGGGGUGUCCAGAUGGUCACUGCCUGGCACGGGGGGGCACCGGGGCUCUGGUCACUCCCUGCCCUGGCACAAGGGGGGUCCCAGGGGUGUCCCACGGGUGUCCCAGGGGCUCUGGUCCCUCCCUGCCCUGGCCUAGGUGUGGUGUCCCAGGGUG